ensembl:lncRNA
CUCACUGUUCUCUUGCUGCAACAUCAGGGGCACGCCCCGCUUCCCCUCACUUCCUGUUUGCCUCACUUCCUGUUUGCCUCACUUCCUGUUUACCAUUGCUAACAGGGUCACUGUUGGGUGUCCAUAGCCAGAGAGCUGAGCCGCUCGCUGACUGCUGUAUGUCCAGUUCGAGCCGUGAGCCGCUCGCGAGCUGUUACUGAAGCUGUGGGCCUCCGGUGGUGGGGACUGGUGUCUUCAGGUGGUGGGAACCCCUUCCUGUGUGGCGUGCUGCUCAUCCCCUGGUUGUUUUUUUUUUUUUUUUUAAAUUCUUCACUCAGGUGUGUGUGUGUAUGUAUGUAUGUAUGUGUGGGUGUGGGUGUGCGCGUGUUCACGUGUGAGUGGGGUGAUUUCUCUUGGGCUCCCUUGUGAUGCCCGUUGGCCCAAACCUCCACCAGAGAGCCCCCAGCUCUGAUUAGUCCCCAAACCCGUCAUUUAACAAUCUCGUGUGAAUGGUUGUUUUUUUUCUUUUUCUUGGUUUUAAACUGAGUAUUUUCGGUAUUAAAUAAAAUUUGUAUUUUUUUGCCUGCACUGGAACCAUGUCUCCUGCCUCAUCAGUAGAACGAACCUGAGUUGCCU